AUGUACUCUUCCCGCAAGACAGACACUGUACCUUUGCUUACCAAGCUGGUAGCUUGCCUGUCAUGUAAGCUGAUUUUGUUUGUUUUCAGGGAAGAGACCAAUUUUAAAUUCAUGAUGCUAAAUAAGAUUUUUACCAGAUUGAUCAUCCCCCUCCCCUGCUUCUUUUUAAGGCAAAAAAAAAAAAAAAAGCAGCUCUUCAGUGGAGAGGUCACUUCUUUUGAGCACAUCUUCACGGCACAGCCAUGCAGUCAGCUCCAUUCAGCCACACGGACUGAGAGGACAGAAAAGGGGUCUGACACCUAAUUCCUUGAAAGUUUAACCUCUGUGGAUAAACAGCGCUGACCACUUUGAAAGACCCUCCUCACAAAGCAGUGUGUGUGUGCUGAGUGGGAAGACUUCCUGGGUUUGGGGUGGGGGGCCUCUCUCAUGAACUGGACCAUCAAUAAUUGUAAAAUGGCAGAAAAGGAUGUCUAGUAAAAGACAGGAAGCCUUCACCAAGAAGGCCCAGCAGUCAUGGAGGUUACAUCUCCUACAGUGUUGCAGGGAACUACAGACAACCAAACAAAUAAUAAAAAUACAGUGAAAACAUUGAUAAAGUCAUAAUCACAGCCUCUGACUUAGAAAUCAACAAGUUAAGUAGGAAAUGGUAAGAACAGAGAGGGACUGGGUAGCAUAAUCAACAAGUUUGACAUAUAUAUUUAUGUACAGGGAGAAGUUUUCCUUUUCAAAUGCAAGUGAAUUAUCUAAUUUUGAAUUUUUGCCAUAAAGGAAGCUUUUAUAAAUGCCAAAAAAGACAGACUUAUAGGCACCAUUUACUGUACACAGAAGUAAAUAACCAAAAGGUAGGCUGCAAAAAAAAAAAAAAAAAAAGUCAUAACUUUAAAUAACCUUGGUUAAUUGGAAAAUAAACAUAUACAUUACAGAUUGUCGACAAAAGAAACCCAGCUGUUUCGGUCCGUGCCUCUGGGAGGAUGGACAGGAAGGCAUGUCAGGGACUUUGAGGGCAGCAGAGUUUGCGGUAGUGACAAAUUAGAAAUGGCUAGGUGGGAGAAUAAAUAAAUCGUGGGCAUACACACCAUGUAAUCCGGUGCAGCAGUUUAAAAGAGUAAGACCCAUGUUCCGAGAUUAAAUCAUCACCAAAUUCCAUUGUUUAAGAAAAUAACACAUCACGUAAGAUUUAUGCACAAGAGUACAAAUCUAUAUAUUCUGUAAGUCCAAGCAUGUGUAUAAAUUCUUGGAAUAAACUCGGAAAAUACAGUCAACACGCUGGGGGCUGCCCUGGGACUGGGGGUCAAGAGGGCAGCCACGGGAAUCACUGGUAUCAUCCUGACUAUUUGAAUUUCAUAAUUAUAUUAGAGCAUACAAUUGUAAUAAAGUAAAUAUAAUCUUGUGUAAUUUAAAAUAAAAUUAAAGCUACCUAUAGGGUUACUGGAAGUUUUCCCUCUGUGCAUUCAUUUACCUUUCUGCUUUUGUCAAAUAGGCACAGCCAUGCAGUCAGCUCCAUUCAGCCACACGGACUGAGAGGACAGAAAAGGGGUCUGACACCUAAUUCCUUGAAAGUUUAACCUCUGUGGAUAAACAGCGCUGACCACUUUGAAAGACCCUCCCUCACAAAGCAGUGUGUGUGUGCUGAGUGGGAAGACUUCCCUGGGUUUGGGGUGGGGGGGGGGCCUCUCUCAUGAACUGGACCAUCCACCCUGGCCUUGGGAUUAGCAGCUUGCCUUUGGUUGUAAUUUGAUUACAUGUGAUUUGACUUGAAGUACUCAAAUAUAAUAUUUUCUUGGACCAGAAAAAAAAAAUAUUCAAAGCAUCUCAAGUCCAAGGACCCCGGUUUAAAUUAGGUGGGCAGAACCAGGGCCUGGGGGUUAAAUCUGACCCAUUGCCUGGUUUUCUUAUGACCCGCAAAGUAAUUUCUUUUUUAACAUUUAAAAUGCUAUAUAAACAUGGACCUGAUAUCCCCAAUUGUGCUCCUUGCCCAUGAAGCCUAAAGAAAAACUGGCCAACCCCUGAUGAAAGUGUUGCCUCCUAAGUCAGAUCCUACUGAAGUUGGUCAGUUCAUCUGGGUGUCACAUCAUAAAAAGAGAGAAAGAAGACCUUCCCUAGGAACUUGGAUCUUUAUUCUCUCAUAAUUUCACUUGUAGUUGGUCUAGGCCAAUUGAAUGGAAAGUGAACAAACUCCUGGAGAUAGCGCAGAGGACAGAGGAAGCCUGGCGUGCUGCAAUCCAUGGGGUCGCAGAGAGUUGGACAUGAUUUAGCGACUGAAAAACGAAGCCCGAUUGGCUCCCUCCUUCAGUCUACAGAAGCGCUCAGGUAUCUGCUGGUCCUCAGCACCUGCUCCUUUAAUCCCUUUUUGGUUGGUGUUCACUUUUGUCAGUGAAUGUAAAUGAUUUUCUUAAAGUUAUCUUUUUACCCAUAAUUGGUGACAUUAUAGCAUUGGAUACCCCUCUUCUCAGCUUCCUUUGCUUUUUGACAAACAUCUACUUUUGAUCGUCUCUUGGUGUUUUUUUCCCUUACAUGGACAUUCUUUCAUUUAUCAAGAUUCUACCAUGACUCAUCUUCUAUCCUUUGUAUCAGCAUCCUCACUGUGCUUUAGAGUAACUUCUGGAGUCUUGAAGUGCAGACCAUAGAAUAUCAGUCCCAGAAUUCCCAAGUCAUUAGACAUGAUGUUUCUUUUCAGAUCUGUCCCAGUAGGAUGUCCAGCAGGCUCUUGGAAAUUUAUAUGUAAAGUGCAGGAGGGGACUUUCCUGGUGGUCGAGUGAUUAGGACUGUGAGCUUCCAUUGGAAAGGGCAUAGAUUUGAUCCCUGUUUGGGAAACUAAGAUCCCACAAGUGAUUCGGCACAGCUUUAAAAAGACAACCAAACAUAAAAUAUGGUGGGAGGUUGAGGUCCGAGAGACAACGUAACAGUUCCUACUGGUGUAAAGACAGCCUUCUCCUGGGCCUUCUGUCCUCUACCACCUGCAGUCCUUGUGGAAAGACGGACUUCCUGACCUACCAGUCAGAUCCCUGGACCUGGGGUCUAGAGUCUGCCUUUGUCAGGGCCCUCCCUGAGCAUUUUCAUCACACACUCAAACUUGAGUAAUGUUUGAGUAAUGAUUCCAGCCACAAAGUCCGAGUUCCUUUUCAACUUGUACAGCACCCCAAUAUAACAGAACUGACUAAGCAAACCCAGAAGUCUCCAAACACUCACCUGAUCAGAGGGAUAGAGCAGAAGGAACGAGAGGGGCACCUCCUCCUACCGAAUCCAGAGGUGACUUGCUCAUUGAGAGUGGCCAUCAUUCUCCCAGGGCGCCAACUAGAAGCUGUGCAUUUAGUUCCGUGGAGCCAAAAGCAACUGAGGACAGUGUGUUCAUUGCAGUUCUCCUGCCCCAAAACAGGAGGCUUGGUGAGGCUUGCCUUAAUGAGAGUUUACCUUUGUUAGCAACAGAGUUAAUGAUUAGAUAAAUCACCUUAGAUU
rnacentral:lncRNA from 1 species